CCCUUAGAUGUUCUGGGCUGCACGCGUGCUACACUGAUUACUUCAACAAGUGUUUUAACUGGAGAGUUUGCGUAAUCCUGAAAUGUUAUCGUGAUGGGAGUUGAGUAUUGUAUUUGUUAAUCUUUAACGAGGAAUUCCUAGUAAGUGUAGGUUUAUAAGUUGUUCUGAUUACGUCCCUGCCCUUUGUACACACCGCCCGUCGCUCCUACCGAUUGAUUGAUCCGGUGAAUUACAUAGAAUUUUGCGUUUUACAUGACGGAAGAUGAAGUGUUUUAAACCUUAUCAUUUAGAGGAAGGAGAAGUCGUAACA
rnacentral:rRNA from 1 species